GAUGAACGCUAGCUACAGGCUUAACACAUGCAAGUCGAGGGGUAGCACAAUAGUAGUAAUACUAUGGGUGACGACCGGCGCACGGGUGAGUAACACGUAUCCAACCUGCCCUGUACUCGGGGAUAGCCUUUCGAAAGAAAGAUUAAUACCCGAUGUUAUGUAUGAGCGGCAUCGCUUAUGCAUCAAAGAUUUAUCGGUACGGGAUGGGGAUGCGUUCCAUUAGGCAGUUGGCGGGGUAACGGCCCACCAAACCUACGAUGGAUAGGGGUUCUGAGAGGAAGGUCCCCCACAUUGGAACUGAGACACGGUCCAAACUCCUACGGGAGGCAGCAGUGAGGAAUAUUGGUCAAUGGGCGUGAGCCUGAACCAGCCAAGUAGCGUGAAGGAUGACUGCCCUAUGGGUUGUAAACUUCUUUUAGAUGGGAAUAAAGUUCGCCACGUGUGGUGUUUUGUAUGUACCAUCUGAAUAAGCAUCGGCUAACUCCGUGCCAGCAGCCGCGGUAAUACGGAGGAUGCGAGCGUUAUCCGGAUUUAUUGGGUUUAAAGGGAGCGUAGGCGGGCUAUUAAGUCAGUUGUGAAAGUUUGCGGCUCAACCGUAAAAUUGCAGUUGAAACUGAUAGUCUUGAGUGCGGCAGAGGUAGGCGGAAUUCGUGGUGUAGCGGUGAAAUGCUUAGAUAUCACGAAGAACUCCAAUUGCGAAGGCAGCUUACCGGAGCGUAACUGACGCUGAUGCUCGAAAGUGUGGGUAUCAAACAGGAUUAGAUACCCUGGUAGUCCACACAGUAAACGAUGAAUACUCGCUGUUGGCGAUAGAUAGUCAGCGGCCAAGCGAAAGCGUUAAGUAUUCCACCUGGGGAGUACGCCGGCAACGGUGAAACUCAAAGGAAUUGACGGGGGCCCGCACAAGCGGAGGAACAUGUGGUUUAAUUCGAUGAUACGCGAGGAACCUUACCCGGGCUUGAAUUGCAGAGGAAUAAUGUUGAAAGAUGUUAGCCGUAAGGUCUCUGUGAAGGUGCUGCAUGGUUGUCGUCAGCUCGUGCCGUGAGGUGUCGGCUUAAGUGCCAUAACGAGCGCAACCCUUAUCCGUAGUUACCAUCGGGUGAUGCCGGGGACUCUGCGGAGACUGCCGUCGUAAGAUGUGAGGAAGGUGGGGAUGACGUCAAAUCAGCACGGCCCUUACGUCCGGGGCUACACACGUGUUACAAUGGGUGGUACAGCAGGUUGCUACACAGCGAUGUGAUGCUAAUCCGUAAAACCACUCUCAGUUCGGAUCGAAGUCUGCAACCCGACUUCGUGAAGCUGGAUUCGCUAGUAAUCGCGCAUCAGCCACGGCGCGGUGAAUACGUUCCCGGGCCUUGUACACACCGCCCGUCAAGCCAUGAAAGCCGAGGGUACCUGAAGUCCGUAACCGUUAAGGAGCGGCCGAGGGUAAAAUUGGUGAUUGGGGCU
rnacentral:rRNA from 1 species